GACGAACGCCGGCGGCGUGCUUAACACAUGCAAGUCGAACGGAAAGGCCCUGCUUUUGUGGGGUGCUCGAGUGGCGAACGGGUGAGUAACACGUGAGUAACCUGCCCUUGACUUUGGGAUAACUUCAGGAAACUGGGGCUAAUACCGGAUAGGAGCUCCUGCUGCAUGGUGGGGGUUGGAAAGUUUCGGCGGUUGGGGAUGGACUCGCGGCUUAUCAGCUUGUUGGUGGGGUAGUGGCUUACCAAGGCUUUGACGGGUAGCCGGCCUGAGAGGGUGACCGGCCACAUUGGGACUGAGAUACGGCCCAGACUCCUACGGGAGGCAGCAGUGGGGAAUAUUGCACAAUGGGCGGAAGCCUGAUGCAGCAACGCCGCGUGCGGGAUGACGGCCUUCGGGUUGUAAACCGCUUUCGCCUGUGACGAAGCGUGAGUGACGGUAAUGGGUAAAGAAGCACCGGCUAACUACGUGCCAGCAGCCGCGGUGAUACGUAGGGUGCGAGCGUUGUCCGGAUUUAUUGGGCGUAAAGGGCUCGUAGGUUGUUGAUCGCGUCGGAAGUGUAAUCUUGGGGCUUAACCCUGAGCGUGCUUUCGAUACGGGUUGACUUGAGGAAGGUAGGGGAGAAUGGAAUUCCUGGUGGAGCGGUGGAAUGCGCAGAUAUCAGGAGGAACACCAGUGGCGAAGGCGGUUCUCUGGGCCUUUCCUGGCGCUGAGGAGCGAAAGCGUGGGGAGCGAACAGGCUUAGAUACCCUGGUAGUCCACGCUGUAAACGGUGGGUACUAGGUGUGGGGUCCAUUCCACGGGUUCCGUGCCGUAGCUAACGCUUUAAGUACCCCGCCUGGGGAGUACGGCCGCAAGGCUAAAACUCAAAGGAAUUGACGGGGCCCCGCACAAGCGGCGGAGCAUGCGGAUUAAUUCGAUGCAACGCGUAGAACCUUACCUGGGUUUGACAUGGAUCGGGAGUGCUCAGAGAUGGGUGUGCCUCUUUUGGGGUCGGUUCACAGGUGGUGCAUGCCUGUCGUCAGCUCGUGUCGUGAGAUGUUGGGUUAAGUCCCGCAACGAGCGCAACCCUUGUUCACUGUUGCCAGCACGUUAUGGUGGGGACUCAGUGGAGACCGCCGGGGUCAACUCGGAGGAAGGUGGGGAUGACGUCAAGUCAUCAUGCCCCUUAUGUCCAGGGCUUCACGCAUGCUACAAUGGCUGGUACAGAGAGUGGCGAGCCUGUGAGGGUGAGCGAAUCUCGGAAAGCCGGUCUCAGUUCGGAUUGGGGUCUGCAACUCGACCUCAUGAAGUCGGAGUCGCUAGUAAUCGCAGAUCAGCAACGCUGCGGUGAAUACGUUCCCGGGGCU
rnacentral:rRNA from 1 species